UAAAAGUUUUAUUUUAACUUUAAAUAUUGGUUAAUCUUUUUUUUAAUAUGUAAAUUUUAGAUUUUAAAUAAUUUUUUUUUGCAGUUGAUAAUUUUAAUAAUUUAAUUAUUUGAGAUUUAGAAAUUGAUUAUUAGUAUUAAUAAAGUUUGUGCCAGCAAUUGCGGUUAAACAGACGUUACUAUUAAUAUUUUUUGGUUAGUAGUUUAUUUAUUUUAUUUGAAUUAUUUAUAAAAAUUUUUGGGUGAAAUUUAAAUUUUUAUUUUUAGUUUAUUUUAUAUUAUUUGAGGUUAUUGAAUUUGAGUGUUAAACUAGGAUUAGAUACCCUAUUAUAUUAAUUAUUAUUAUUUACCUGAUUAUUAAUAGAUAUAUUCUUGAAAAUUAAAAAAUUUGGCGGUAUUUUAAUCUAUUCAGAGGAACCUGUCCUUUAAUUGAUAAUACACGAUUUGUUUUACUUUUUUUUUGUUUGUAUAUCGUCGUUUAUUUGAAAAUUUUAUAAGAAUUAAUAAUUUUCUAUAUUUAAUUUAUUAAUUUAUUUCAGAUCAAGGUGCAGUUUAUAAAAAAGUGGAGAUGGGUUACAAUAAAUUUAUUUAUGGUUUUUUUAUUUAAAUAUAAAAAUUAAAUUGGAUUUGAAUGUAAUAUUAUUAAAUUUAUAAUAUGAUUAUAGUUCUGGAAAUAUGCACAUAUUGCCCGUCGCUCUCAAUUAAUUUGAGAUAAGUCGUAACAUAGUAGAUGUACUGGAAAGUGUAUCUAGAAAGAU
rnacentral:ncRNA from 1 species